UAUUCGUCAAUGGGGGAAACCCUGAACGAGCAAUGCCGCGUGAGUGAUGAAGGUCUUAAUGAUUGUAAAACUCUGUUGUGAAGGAAGAAUAGCUAUCAUAGGUAAUGAUGAUGGUGUGACGGUACUUCACCAGAAAGCCCCGGCUAACUACGUGCCAGCAGCCGCGGUAAUACGUAGGGGGCGAGCGUUAUCCGGAUUUAUUGGGCGUAAAGAGUUCGUAGGCGGUUUGUUAAGUCUAAAAUUCAAGCCCGAGGCUUAACCUCGGUUCGUUUUAGAAACUGGCAGACUUGAGUGUGGUAGAGGCAAGUGGAAUUUCUAGUGUAGCGGUUAAAUGCGUAGAUAUUAGAAGGAACACCAGUGGCGAAGGCGGCUUGCUGGGCCAUUACUGACGCUGAGGAACGAAAGCGUGGGGAGCAAAUAGG
rnacentral:rRNA from 1 species